rnacentral:tRNA from 1 species
CGAGAGUGGCCAUGAGGCAAUAGGAACUGCUAAUUCCUGCUCCUGCAGUUAAAAUCUGCAGCUCACUCG